UACGUAGGGUGCAAGCGUUAAUCGGAAUUACUGGGCGUAAAGCGUGCGCAGGCGGUUUUGUAAGUCUGUCGUGAAAUCCCCGGGCUCAACCUGGGAAUUGCGAUGGAGACUGCAAGGCUAGAAUCUGGCAGAGGGGGGUAGAAUUCCAGGUGUAGGAGUGAAAUCCGUAGAUAUCUGGAGGAAUACCGGAGGCGAAGGCGGCCAACUGGGAAUGCAUUGACACUGAGGUGCGAAAGCGUGGGGAGCAAACAGG
rnacentral:rRNA from 1 species